rnacentral:rRNA from 1 species
UACGGCCUACGGGGCGCAGCAGUGGGGGAUAUUGCACAAUGGGGGGAACCCUGAUGCAGCGACGCCGCGUGGGUGAAGGAGCGUUUCGGCGCGUAAAGCCCUAUCGGCAGGGAAGAAGAUGACGGUACCUGACCAAGAAGCCCCGGCUAACUACGUGCCAGCAGCCGCGGUAAUACGUAGGGGGCAAGCGUUAUCCGGAUUUACUGGGUGGAAAGGGGGGGCAGACGGCAA